rnacentral:misc_RNA from 1 species
UAUCUUUACCGUCGCUGCCUACCUUCCUCCUUUCCUCUCUACUCUCUGCAAUUGUUACAGUCAUCUACUUCACCUUCGCCGGGCCGCGCCUUUACCCGCUGGGUUUGGGUGUUUUGCUGUUCUUACUGAGCGCUCCCCAUCCCACACUCGCCGCCGCCCUCUCUCUGCCUGCUUGGCGAUUUGUCUGUCCACUGCAUUAGACGGGAAAGAGAGAGGAUAGUACCGCCCUUGCGCACACGCGCGCUUUCGCUCAAGAAGUCGGACCAUUACCGCGGCACGCCAUCUGUAUCAUAAGCCUCAAAGAUAGCAGCAGCCAUGAAGGCGGCACAGGCCAAGGCAGUAGGCAUGCCGAAAGACGGUUUCUGGAUCGAGAAGUGCGUCGGGAAUGCAGCUGUUAUCUACUCCAAGGACACUACCGACCGCUUGACUGACCUUGCUGGCGCACUGCUGGUUAUGUGCAUCUCUGUGUACUUCACCGUUGGCGGAUACCUGUUCUACCGUGAAAUCGUUCUGAGCGAGUAGCCGAUAGAAGAGAGAGAUUUUGUUUGAAAGGAAUUGGACGAAGGCAGUGUGAGGGGGGGGGCGGGCGGGAGAAACACACCUGGAGGGCAAUCACUAGCGGCGUAUCGCACUCUGGUUGCUGCAGUCUUACGACGGAGUUGCACUGCCUCUGCUUCCACACCCCUUUUCCCAUCUCCCUCUUUCCACUGCCAAAAGCGAGUAACGUUUCCGCCACAUCCAUUCCGCCGCCUCCCCUCCCCUCCCCCUCGGCACACACACACUCGCAAAAAAGUCCAAAGAUCAAUAUUUGUGCGCGCGCUGCUCCCUCCUCAUUCUCUGUUCGGUUUCCUUGUCUCUCUUCUUCUUUCCCGCUGUCUAAGCUCAUUCCGUUUCUGUCCCUCUAACAUGUGCCCGUGUGCCUGGUGGAGAGAGGGGAGGGGGCAUGGCGUGACAUGGCAUGAGUUUUUCUUCUCAUCUGCGCAUAGCGAUAUGUUUCAUGCCAUGUCUUUCAUCCCCCACUCGCUCCUGUCGACUGUUCCCUUCUUAACGUUUGCUGCGCACUGCCGCAGUCUAGGGAUCCGCACCUCUGCCCUCUCUCUUCUCUGUCUCUUGAGCCAUUGAGGUGAUCCACUACCCCCUCACAUCUUUGUGUUCGACUUUUUGCAUCCAGAGGUCUUUGUCCUUCGCCCACGACGUCUUCUACCUGAUUCAUCUCUGGGAAGGUGGUUGGCAUGUCUGUGUAUGCAUGCGUGUGUCCGUUGCUCUCCCUGUUUAAGUGCGUCCAUGUCUUGGCCACUCUGGUGUUUCCUCGGCGAUACAGACGCAGUGAUGUUUGCCCACAGCUGCGCAUUCGCACAACGCCUCGUCCCCACUCCGCGUUGGUGGCAGGGCCGGAAGCUCCUCUGAGGAGGAGCAGGGGAGAGGAAACGUGGCGGUGCAUUGUUAAUUGGCGAUGAUCGUUGCCGCAAACACACACACACACACAAAACCGCCAAGAGAUGUGUAGAAGCUGGGGGAUUCGCGACCCUACGAAGAUGCGUGAGAUAACGGUGGCUCUUCUGAGAGAGGUGCAAAAGCAACUGAACCCGC